rnacentral:ncRNA from 2 species
UGAAUCCGCGCGGGAGAGUUCCCAGCCCUGAGCUGGGACGCCGAAGGAGCAAGUCCCUCCCUUGAAUCUCUCAGGCCCCGUUACCGCGCGGGCGAG